UCAGGCCUAACACAUGCAAGUCGAGGGGUAGCAGGAUUAAGCUUGCUUAAUUGCUGACGACCGGCGCACGGGUGCGUAACGCGUAUGCAACCUACCUUAUACUGGGGUAUAGCCCGGAGAAAUUCGGAUUAAUCCCCCAUAGUACUAAUGAAUCGCAUGGUUUAUUAGUUAAAGCGUCAGCGGUAUAAGAUGGGCAUGCGUCCUAUUAGCUAGAUGGUGAGGUAACGGCUCACCAUGGCUACGAUAGGUAGGGGGCCUGAGAGGGUGGUCCCCCACACUGGUACUGAGACACGGACCAGACUCCUACGGGAGGCAGCAGUGAGGAAUAUUGGUCAAUGGGCGCAAGCCUGAACCAGCCAUGCCGCGUGCAGGAAGAAUGCCCUAUGGGUUGUAAAGUGCUUUUAUUGGGAAUAAACCUCUUUACGUGAGAGAG
rnacentral:rRNA from 1 species